GUCAAAAGCAAUUGGAUGUUAAUCUGCUAUGGGCAGCGGCGGUGCAUCAAGGUGCAAGGCAGCAGCGACAUGUUCAUAGUACGCUAAAGGAUGAACUCCUACUUUUUCUGAUGCUAGCUCCUUGCUGCAGGAUAUGCAUUGUGCUUAAACAUGAGUGCUCGCUCGCUGAACGUUGGCCCUCGGAUGAAUUCGACGCUUGAAUCGAGCUGACGAGCCCCAUGGGGGUGAGAGGCGGAUAACAAUACGAGAAGGAGCAUGCCAUCGAGGAGUGCAAGCAGCGGCACUCCUCCGCAAUGGGGUAUGGCUGCGGGGGAGGGGACGCGGCCAACGACAGGAAGAAGGAGCAGGUCGUCGAGGACUACAAGCAGCAGGUUUCCUUUGACUGGAAGUCUGAAACUGAAGAUAGGGCAUAUUGUUUUGGUUCUGAGUGGCCGGAGAUAUUGUGGCUUGAUGUCCCUAGAGCAGUCGGACCCUUCCAAGAUAGAAGAUCUUUGGGAUUGACGUUCUGAUGAGAAAGUAGCAUACGGAUGGAUGGACAUGAACUAUUCAGUGGUCGAACUGCGCUAUAUUUCUUUCAUUGAGGCGAGGGUGAUUCCAGUAGAUUUUGCUUGGCGGACUCGCCUUUUUUUAUUGAAGUUGGGUGUCCGUCUUCUCUGCGGCAAGGAUCUGGGGAGUCAGAUUGCGGAUUACAUGUAGUGGGGAAGUAGAGAGGGGGACGAGGAAGAGGACACCGUCGGUGGCGUGCU
rnacentral:lncRNA from 1 species